AUUGAACGCUGGCGGGAUGCUUUACACAUGCAAGUCGAACGGCAGCGCGGACUUCGUUCUGGCGGCGAGUGGCGAACGGGUGAGUAAUGUAUCGGAACGUGCCCAGUAGCGGGGGAUAACUACGCGAAAGCGUAGCUAAUACCGCAUACGCCCUACUGGGGAAAGCAGGGGAUCGUAAGACCUUGCACUAUUGGAGCGGCCUAUAUCGGAUUAGCUAGUUGGUUAGGUAACGGCUCACCAAGGCGACGAUCCGUAGCUGGUUUGAGAGGACGACCAGCCACACUGGGACUGAGACACGGCCCAGACUCCUACGGGAGGCAGCAGUGGGGAAUCUUGGACAAUGGGCGCAACCCUGAUCCAGCAAUGCCGCGUGUGCGAUGAAGGCCUUCGGAUUGUAAAGCACUUUUGGCAGGAAAGAAACGUCGCGGGAUAAUACCCCGUGGAACUGACGGUACCUGAAGAAUAAGCACCGGCUAACUACGUG
rnacentral:rRNA from 1 species